rnacentral:tRNA from 1 species
UCUAUUGUGGCAGAUCAAGUGCGGUAAAUUUAAGAUUUAUAGAUGAAUUAGUGUUCCUUUAGAA